rnacentral:rRNA from 1 species
GACGGGUGAGUAACGCGUGAGAAUCUACCUCCGAGAUGGGGACAACCGUUGGAAACGACGGCUAAUCCCCAAUAAGCCGAAAGGUGAAAGGGUUUCCGCUCGCAGAGGAGCUCGCGUCCGAUUAGUUAGUUGGUGGGGUAAGAGCCUACCAAGGCAGCGAUCGGUAGCUGGUCUGAGAGGAUGAGCAGCCACACUGGGACUGAGACACGGCCCAGACUCCUACGGGAGGCAGCAGUGGGGAAUUUUCCGCAAUGGGCGCAAGCCUGACGGAGCAACGCCGCGUGUGGGAAGAAGGCUCUUGGGCUGUCAACCACUUCUCUCAGGGAAGAAGUCCUGACGGUACCUGAGGAAUCAGCCUCGGCUAACUCCGUGCCAAGCAGCCGCGGUAAUACGGAGGAGGCAAGCGUUAUCCGGAAUUAUUGGGCGUAAAGCGUCCGCAGGGGGCACUUCAAGUCUGCUGUCAAAGGUCGGAGCUUAACUCCGGUUCGGCAGUGGAAACUGGAGCGCUAGAGGGCGACAGGGGUAGAGGGAAUUCCCAGUGUAGCGGUGAAAUUGCGUAGAGAUUGGGAAGAACCACCGGUGGCGAAAGCGCUCUACUGGGUCGCACCCUUGACCCCUCAGGGACGAAAGCUAAGGUAGCGAAAGGGAUUAGAUAACCCCUGUAGUCUUA